CUUUUCUUCUUGCUCCUCCUCCCUCCUCUUCCUCUUUCCUUCUCCCACUCUUUCCCUCUCCUUCCUUCCUGUCCCAAUGCGGGUAACUAGAUAUGAAUUGAGCCUCUCAGUUCAAAGGUGAGCGACAAGGCUGUGUCCAGAGACGAUUAUUGGCCUCUUGUUAAUAUGCCAGCACUCCAACGCUAUGUAACUGGAUCUCCCACGUGAAUUAACACAGAUUCAGAAUUGCACCCGUGUUUGAGAAGAAAGGCAAAGGCGAUGAGGGGGGAGUAAGCUGCUAAGAAAAAAAUACAGGGUCCAAUUUGCCAAGGAGGGGGAAAAAAGUGUCUGUCCGCGGUUUCCUAUGAAUUGCACCCCUAUAGUAGGUGAUUUCUGCAACUGUAUCGUCCCCCUUUCCUGUCUUUCAGAAGUCUGGUUCCGGCGCUCUCACAGCAAAGCUGCUUGUGGCUUUAAAAUGUUGAAUGGCAACUGAGAAGCUCCCGCUCAGAAUAAGCCGUAAACCAGCAAGUUUGCCCGAAGUGGUGGGAGCUGCUGGAACCUCACUCUCACAGGCUCUUCCCUGACGCAGCACCAGCAGCAGCAGUAGAGCUAGCUGCCCGAAGUACAUAGACUGAGACAGGGAGGGAAGAGAGGACGAGCCAACCGCUGCACUCCAGAAAGAACAGUCUUACCCUUUGCCUCUGCCUCUGCUGCUGCUUGUAGUGCUGUAAGUGGAGAUCACAAAACACCAGCCAGUCCUCCUAAAGCCAAGCCAUAUCACACUACAAUGAGUCUUGCUACUGCACUUGCCAACCCGUCAUCUCCGCAGUGACUUUUCUCCCCAACCUAUAUUGGGAAUCAUCCUGUGGCAAGUGUAUCAUGACCGGUGGUCCGGAGACCAGGCACGCGCCCGCUCUGCUGAUCUAGUGUUCUGAGGAACCAUGAUAAGCUGCAGUGGUGUAAGAGAGAGACCCUCAAACUCUGAUGAUAGGCAAAGGGAGGGAUCCUCUUUGGGGAGGGCAGACUUUUAGAGUUUCCAAAUACGGGGAUGUUUUUUGGGGGGAGAAGGGUCAUCAACCUUCAUUUUCUUUAUGUGGCAUUCGGGUCAUUUUGCAUGCCUGGCGGGUGGGGGGGAACGCUCAAAAUACUCCGUGUGUAUUUCUGAGGCAUAAACACAUGUAAAUCAGGAAGCUGCAGCCUUUAGCAGUGGACAAAAUGUAGCGUUACCUAUAUGGAUGAAAGGAAAAUAAACUUUAAUGGCAACUUUG